rnacentral:lncRNA from 1 species
UCUGCACAAUGCCUGAGACAUGAGUUGCAAUAGCCCUAAAAUAUCUCUCUCUUUUUUUAGGGGACAUACAGGCAAUUCGUAAGCACUGAGGAAGACUGAAAGAACAUAAAUACAAUCUUGAGGAACGAAUUAUAGUCUCAGAAUCUAUGCUGUCUCUGCAUAUGAAUCCUCCAUCUGAAGGUGAAAGAUUCAGGCUGGCGAGUUGUGAGCAUGAUUACAGAUUGCCUAUGAACUGUGAGCAGUCACUACACUUUUCUUCAAACCUUCAGAUCACAGUUGUUGAGAAGGCUGCAUUUCCAUCCACCUAGUCUAACACAUUGUUCUAGUUAAACUAAAUACAUUUGUGAAGUUGUCUUACAAUUGAAGGAUUUUCUCAUUUUUUCUUUUAUUUUUUGUGAAAGGUGUUUCUUUUUGUGAAAGAGUUUUUGUGUCAUAUGAGGUAUGAGUAGAUGAAUGAAUUUGUUAGAAAUAUAGCGCAGAAGAGUCUCAUGGAUAGAAUUCAACUGCAGCACACUUCAGAUGCCUCAGAGUUAAUCAUGUGAAUGUGAGCUUGUUGAUUGAGACUCGCUCUAUAGGCAAAGAAAUAAUGUUUUGGGGGAGAUUAUCUUGGUUUAUUUUAGGCACGUCAUAAAAAGACAGGGAUUACUCUCUAAAGGUGUGCGGGAUUAGACGAGAGCUUAACGCAGAUGGCUUAGCUGUAGUUAUCUUUCAGAUCCCACCUUUCCUGUGCUCUCCCUCUUUUAUCAGCAGCCUUUCCAUUAUAUAAUUUGUUGUAUAAUUCUUUGAAAAACAAUCAAGUAGUUCUUAGUUCAAGAGUCAAUGAUUAAAUAUCCACCUAUAUUCAUAAGGCCAGUCAGAAAAAAUUGCACUAAUAAUCCUUCAAGCAGAGUAUGUGCAAUUUUAGACUCCGAGAAGGAGAUAAAAGGAACUGGUGAUAGACAGAAAAAUUAAGAAGGCAGAUAUUCAUUUAUUUUCAUUGUAAAUUUUUUUUGUAAAUUAUUCUGGAAUAAAACAGUGAUUCAUUCCUUUAAAGUACUAGAU